rnacentral:rRNA from 1 species
ACCAAGCCGACGAUCAGUAGCCGACCUGAGAGGGUGACCGGCCACAUUGGGACUGAGACACGGCCCAAACUCCUUCGGGAGGCAGCAAGUGGGGAAUAUUGCACAAUGGGGGAAACCCUGAUGCAGCGACGCCGCGUGAAGGAAGAAGUAUUUCGGUAUGUAAACUUCUAUCAGCAGGGAAGAAGAUGACGGUACCUGAGUAAGAAGCACCGGCUAAAUACGUGCCAGCAGCCGCGGUAAUACGUAUGGUGCAAGCGUUAUCCGGAUUUACUGGGUGUAAAGGGAGCGUAGACGGAUAGGCAAGUCUGGAGUGAAAACCCAGGGCUCAACCCUGGGACUGCUUUGGAAACUGCAGAUCUGGAGUGCCGGAGAGGUAAGCGGAAUUCCUAGUGUAGCGGUGAAAUGCGUAGAUAUUAGGAGGAACACCAGUGGCGAAGGCGGCUUACUGGACGGUGACUGACGUUGAGGCUCGAAAGCGUGGGGAGCAAUCAAAGGUAGAUACCCUNNUANUCCNCNCCNUNNNCGCCCCUAAAGGGUGUCGGUGUGCAAAGCACAUCGGUGCGGCAGCAAAACGCAAUAAGUAGUCCACCCGGGGAGUACGUUCGCAAGAAGAAAACUCAAAGGAAUUGACGGGGACCCGCACAAGCGGUGGAGCAUGUGGUUUAAUUCGAAGCAACGCGAAGAACCUUACCUGUUCUUGACAUCCGGAUGACGGGCGAGUAAUGUCGCCGUCCCUUCGGGGCAUCCGAGACAGGUGGUGCAUGGUUGUCGUCAGCUCGUGUCGUGAGAUGUUGGGUUAAGUCCCGCAACGAGCGCAACCCUUAUCUUCAGUAGCCAGCAUAUAAGGUGGGCACUCUGGAGAGACUGCCAGGGAGAACCUGGAGGAAGGUGGGGAUGACGUCAAAUCAUCAUGCCCCUUAUGGCCAGGGCUACACACGUGCUACAAUGGCGUAAACAAAGGGAAGCGAGAGGGUGACCUGGAGCGAAUCCCAAAAAUAACGUCUCAGUUCGGAUUGUAGUCUGCAACUCGACUACAUGAAGCUGGAAUCGCUAGUAAUCGCGGAUCAGCAUGCCGCGGCG